CUAGUUCCUGAUGCACUAGAAUGAAGGGGCUUACAUUUCGUUUUAAAUUCACGUCUUAAGGUAGGGAUACGAAAAUUCAAUAUCAUAUCAACACUUCAAAGAUCAAUACAAAGCCAUUUUCUUGACACUCAAUGCUAUGAUUAAAGCACCAUUCCAUGUGCAAAAUAAAACUGAAUAUAUCAAGAAAUUGGAGUCGAUGACUAAAGAUCAACUGGCCAAUGGAAGUGAACUUUGACAGGAG